rnacentral:rRNA from 1 species
GAUGAACGCUAGCGGCAGGCUUAACACAUGCAAGUCGAGGGGUAUUUAUCUUCGGAUAGAGCGACCGGCGCACGGGUGCGUAACGCGUAUGCAAUCUACCUUUUACAGAGGGAUAGCCCAGAGAAAUUUGGAUUAAUACCUCAUAGUAUAUAGACUCGGCAUCGAGAUUAUAUUAAAGUCACAACGGUAAAAGAUGAGCAUGCGUCCCAUUAGCUAGUUGGUAAGGUAACGGCUUACCAAGGCUACGAUGGGUAGGGGUCCUGAGAGGGAGAUCCCCCACACUGGUACUGAGACACGGACCAGACUCCUACGGGAGGCAGCAGUGAGGAAUAUUGGACAAUGGGCGCAAGCCUGAUCCAGCCAUGCCGCGUGCAGGAGGACGGUCCUAUGGAUUGUAAACUGCUUUUAUACGAGAAGAAACACUGCUACGUGUAGCAGCUUGACGGUAUCGUAAGAAUAAGGAUCGGCUAACUCCGUG